UACGUAGGGUGCGAGCGUUGUCCGGAAUUAUUGGGCGUAAAGAGCGCGUAGGCGGCCCUGUAAGUCCGCUGUGAAAGUCAAAGGCUCAACCUUUGAAAGCCGGUGGAUACUGUGGGGCUAGAGUACGGAAGAGGCGAGUGGAAUUCCUGGUGUAGCGGUGGAAUGCGCAGAUAUCAGGAGGAACACCAAUAGCGAAGGCAGCUCGCUGGGACGUUACUGACACUGAGGCGCGAAAGCGUGGGGAGCGAACAGG
rnacentral:rRNA from 1 species